rnacentral:rRNA from 1 species
GCUGCAUGGCUGUCGUCAGCUCGUGCCGUGAGGUGUUGGGUUAAGUCCCGCAACGAGCGCAACCCUUGUCGUUAGUUGCCAACGCGUAAUGGCGGGCACUCUAGCGAGACUGCCUAGGUUAACUAGGAGGAAGGUGAGGAUGACGUCAAGUCCGCAUGGCCUUUAUGUCCAGGGCUACACACGUGCUACAAUGGUCGGUACAAUGGGAAGCUAAGUCGUGAGAUGGAGCAAAUCCUUUAAAGCCGGCCCCAGUUCAGAUUGGAGUCUGCAACUCGACUCCAUGAAGAUGGAAUUGCUAGUAAUGGCGGGUCAGCAACACCGCCGUGAAUCCGUUCCCGGG